rnacentral:rRNA from 1 species
GAUGAACGCUGGCGGCGUGCCUAAUACAUGCAAGUCGAGCGAACGGACGAGAAGCUUGCUUCUCUGAUGUUAGCGGCGGACGGGUGAGUAACACGUGGAUAACCUACCUAUAAGACUGGGAUAACUUCGGGAAACCGGAGCUAAUACCGGAUAACAUUUUGAACCGCAUGGUUCAAAAGUGAAAGACGGUCUUGCUGUCACUUAUAGAUGGAUCCGCGCCGCAUUAGCUAGUUGGUAAGGUAACGGCUUACCAAGGCAACGAUGCAUAGCCGACCUGAGAGGGUGAUCGGCCACACUGGAACUGAGACACGGUCCAGACUCCUACGGGAGGCAGCAGUAGGGAAUCUUCCGCAACGGGCGAAAGCCUGACGGAGCAACGCCGCGUGAGUGAUGAAGGUCUUCGGAUCGUAAAACUCUGUUAUUAGGGAAGAACAAAUGUGUAAGUAACUGUGCACAUCUUGACGGUACCUAAUCAGAAAGCCACGGCUAACUACGUG